rnacentral:rRNA from 1 species
GAUGUUGGCUUAGAAGCAGCCACUCAUUAAAAGAGUGCGUAAUAGCUCACUAGUCAAGAGAUCCUGCGCCGAAAAUGUCCGGGGCUCAAACUUACCACCGAAGCUACGGGUUCAUACUUUGUAUGAGCGGUAGAGGAGCGUCGUAAUCGGGCUGAAGUCGUACCGUAAGGAGCGGUGGACUGAUUACGAGUGAGAAUGUUGGCAUUAGUAGCGAGAUGUAGGUGAGAAUCCUACAGGCCGAAUAUCUAAGGUUUCCUGAGUAAAGUUUGUCUUCUCAGGGUUAGUCGGGACCUAAGGCGAGGCCGAGAGGCGUAGUCGAUGGACAAUUGGUUGAUAUUCCAAUACCACUAUAAUCGUUAUUAUCGAUGGUGUGACGGAGAAGGAUAGGAUGUGCCAGCUAUUGGAUGCUGGUCUAAGCGUUGAGGGAGUUAGAACAGGCAAAUCCGUUCUAACAAUCCUAGGGCGUGAUGGGGAAGGUUCCACGGAACCGAAGUAUCUGAUUUCAUGCUUCCAAGAAAAGCAUCUAGAAAGAGAAGUAGUGCCCGUACCGCAAACCGACACAGGUAGAUGAGGAGAGAAUCCUAAGGCCGACGGAAGAAUCACAGUUAAGGAACUAGGCAAAUUGACCCCGUAACUUCGGGAGAAGGGGUGCCUACCAUUUGGUAGGCCGCAGAGAAUAGGCACAAGCAACUGUUUAACAAAAACACAGGUCUCUGCUAAAGCGUAAGCUGAUGUAUAGGGGCUGACGCCUGCCCGGUGCUGGAAGGUUAAGGGGAACACUUAGCGCAAGCGAAGGUGUGAACUUAAGCCCCAGUAAACGGCGGCCGUAACUAUAACGGUCCUAAGGUAGCGAAAUUCCUUGUCAGGUAAGUUCUGACCCGCACGAAUGGCGUAAUGACUUGUGCACUGUCUCAACUGUGAAUCCGGCGAAGUUGUAGUGCGAGUGAAGAUGCUCGCUACCCGCGAUUGGACGGAAAGACCCCGUAGAGCUUUACUGUAGCUUAGCAUUGAAUUUCGGUAUUGUCUGUACAGGAUAGGUGGGAGACUGGGAAAUUAGGGCGUCAGCCUUAAUGGAGUCGUUGUUGGGAUACCACCCUGAUAGUAUUGAAGUUCUAACUGGAUGCCAUGAAACUGGUGACAGGACAUUGUUAGGUGGGCAGUUUGACUGGGGCGGUCGCCUCCUAAAAUGUAACGGAGGCGCCCAAAGGUUCCCUCAGAACGGUCGGAAAUCGUUCGUAGAGUGUAAAGGCAUAAGGGAGCCUGACUGCGAGACCUACAAGUCGAGCAGGGACGAAAGUCGGGCUUAGUGAUCCGGUGGUACCUCGUGGGAGGGCCAUCGCUCAACGGAUAAAAGCUACCUCGGGGAUAACAGGCUGAUCUCCCCCAAGAGUUCACAUCGACGGGGAGGUUUGGCACCUCGAUGUCGGCUCGUCGCAUCCUGGGGCUGAAGUAGGUCCCAAGGGUUGGGCUGUUCGCCCAUUAAAGCGGCACGCGAGCUGGGUUCAGAACGUCGUGAGACAGUUCGGUCCCUAUCCGUCGCGGGCGUAGGAAAUUUGAGAGGAGCUGUCCUUAGUACGAGAGGACCGGGAUGGACUGACCUAUGGUGUACCAGUUGUUUCGCCAGAAGCAUAGCUGGGUAGCUAAGUCGGGAAGGGAUAAACGCUGAAAGCAUCUAAGUGUGAAGCCCACCUCAAGAUGAGAUUUCCCAUAGCAUAAGCUAGUAAGACCCCUUGAAGACUACAAGGUUGAUAGGUCAGAGGUGUAAGUGCGGUAACGUAUUUAGCUGACUGAUACUAAUAGGUCGAGGGCUUGACCAAU